rnacentral:misc_RNA from 1 species
UCACUAUCUGCGAGACGACGCGGAGGAACGCGGGUCUUGUCGCAAGGGCAGCUCGAUUUAUGAAGGCUUCACAUUUGGACAGGUACGUCACCGGAGCUCUGGAGCAUGUCGCCCGGUACCCUGUCCUACUGGACGAGGUUGCUGAG